CGUGCAAGUAUCGAACCACUUUCUUCAGGGAUCUAGUUAAUGUUUAGUACAAAUAAGAAAUGCUUAAAGGAAUCGAACGCUUGUGAAUAAGACAGAUAAAGAUAAGCAUAAAAAUUUCUCAUUCCCAAUUCUUCCAAUGCUAGGCAUGCUCCAAACAAAAUGCCCUAAUACAUUACGAAAAAAAUCUCAAACACGUGAUCAACGAACAG
rnacentral:misc_RNA from 1 species